AACCACGUGGCCAGCCUGUGCUGCUGCUUUGGGGCAUCAGCUGUCAGCUCCUCUCCCAGUGAUGGCCACCCAUCGCUCCCUGACCCUGAGGGGAUGCUGAGUGGGUGAGGAGGGCCCGGCCCCGCAUCCAUGACCUCAUGCUUGGCCCUGCCAGACCUAGGGGCCGGGCAUCCCCUCCCAGGCCUCAUCCCUCUCUGCAGCGUUACCAGCAGUAUUGCUAAAGCUGAGUAUUAAUAUGCCCGAGUCUGCCCCAACCUACCAGUCCCUCCUUCCUCCCCCCCCCCAAAAAAUGGCAGAAAGGCAGUUGGCAACUUUUCUCCAGCCCAGGUACAAUCCAGUGGUUACAAUCCAGCCAUAAGCAGCAUUAGCUGAUAAAGAAAGCAAAACUGCUAUGCAAAAUUGACUAAUUUUAAAAAAAUCUAAUUAUAAAAUUAGUGGAUGAAACGGAAGUAGUGGGUAGAACAUGUCUUGACUCAUAUUCAGCAAUGCGUCUGCUAGUAUCUCAUGAAAUCUUCCUCCAGAGUGUCAGGGCUUGCCACAGCAAAACACCAGUUGACUUCCUUGGGGAAAAGACUGGACUGAAUAUUAGCAGUGUCAGAUCAAUUGUAAACUCUGAAGUACCAUCAAAUGGAAGAGAUUCUCAGCUUGGAUAGUGGCUGAAGGGAUUGCUCCAGAAUUCUUGCCUAUUCCUGUUGAUUUUUAUUAUUAUAUUGCAAAGAAGCUGGCCUGUCCAUAACAUCCCUGAAAAUUCAUCCAUCUGCAUGUCUUUUACCUGCCUUGUGUUUUUUCCCCACUCUACAGUUUCAUGCAUCUUUAAAGACUUUACCCCUUAUAAGCAUAUUCCUGCUCGGGACUUGAACUUGCUGCUAACAAAGUUUAUGGAUUUCAGAGUAGCAGCCAUGUUAGUCUGUAUCCGCAAAAAGAACAGGAGUACUUGUGGCACCUUAGAGACUAACAAAUUUAUUAGAGCAUAAGCUUUUGUGGACUACAGCCCACUUGAGCUUCCUGUGGAUUGCUCUUUGGAUUACCUGUCUCACACAACUUUCUUUAUAGUUAUCAUUGCUGCCAGGAGCAUCAGUGAGUUGCAAGCUCUGAUGGUGGUGUUACCCUAAGAGCCAAGUGGUCUUACAUGCCAACCCAAAAUGUAUUCCUAAAGUGUGAUGGACUUUCAUAUUAACCCAUCUAUCUCCCUCCUGGUCUUCUUCCCAACCUUGCACUCAGACCUGGGGGGAGACCUGUCUCCACAUCUUAGAUAUGAAGAAUGUAUUUGUUUUUAUCUAGAGAGAUAUAAGCUCUCCCAAAAGUCCAGUAGGUUGUUUGUCGUGUAUGGGGAGAAAUGUAAAAGGUAGGGAUUUCGACUCACAGAUUAGCCAAGUAGAUUGUUUUAUGCAUUUGAUUGUGCUAUUCUGUGUCUAGGAUCCCCUACCAACAAGAAUUGAGGCCUACACCACUAGUGCUAUGGACGCUUCUUUGGCCUAUCUUUAGGCUAGUACCCAUUGGUGACAUUUGCAGAGCAGAGACUUGAAGUUUAAUUCCCACCUUCACUAAGCACUACCCUUUAGGCUUAAUCUCUGGUUCAAAUGCUGAGGUUUGGGAAUUUGGUGCUUCAGCCUCUGUUCAUCUCACAACUCCUCAGCCCACCUUCCAUCUUGGAUGGUACUGCUUGUUAGGCACCCACUAAUAGUGGUUCGGUGAGCUUAUCAUGAGGGGUACCAAUCCCUGAAAUAUGAAUGCACAGAAUCAACUCUUAAACACCAGUUACCAGUAAUAACCUUUCUCUCUUUUUCUCCAAAAAAAUUCUCUUGCAGGAAGUUAUCUGCAACCUGGGACUGUUGACAGCUGGAGCAGCAUGUUUUCCCUAGGAGAAUGGCCAGGCUGACUUUCUGUUUAUAAAGAAACACAGCCCUUAUUGGUCUUGCAGCAAGCAAAAGAGACAGGGUUAAGGUGAAGCAAGCUUGGGAUACUUUACAAAGGUAUAAAAAGUACAGCAAUGGUGGGUAAACCUCAGUGAUGCCCAGAGGCCUCAGUGAGAGUCAGGACCCGACUGCGCUAGAGGCACAACAUACAGGAAGGCAUGGCUCCUGCUCCAAAGAGAUUUCAAUCUAAUUUAAGACAAGUUGCAACCAAUGAGUGUGAUAAAUAAUGGGAGGACUGGAGGAGAGAAGAGAAGGUUAACAGUCAUAAGUUAAGGCUGGUACAUAGGCUUACUGUGUGCUCAACUUGAAGGUUUCAAAUCAUUUGGAAAGAUUGGAGUAAAAGAAGAACUGAAUAAAACAGCUGGGUUGUGUGCUAAAGGCAGUUGUGCUUUUCUUUGUGUACAGUUGGGAUUUCUUGUUUGAACUGAGGAUCAGCACUAUGGAGAAGAAGAGAAAACUCUUCAGUGCGAAGCCUCCUGUCCCAGCAUGGAUUGCCGGUGAAGAAUUUUGAGAACAAGAUACAGAUCUUGUUGGAGUUAUCCAGGCCUUUGUCAUUGCGAGAUUAGACUAAUGAAAUGUGUGCUACAUCUUAAAAUCACUUGGAAAUGUAAAUUAAUGCAGAAUGUGACUUCACGCUAAGUGGUGCUUCAAGUGGACAUCACUUUACACAUACUAUAUCCUGGUCUAUUUUGGUUCCUGUACUGUGCACAUCACUAUGCUGCUCACCUGCACUCAUAAUCUGUGCUGCCUUCUGAUUAGUUUCCAAGUGGAAUUUAAGGUGUCAGCUUUGCCAAUAAAGUCCUGAAUGGUUUGGGACUUUCUCCUGGGAGAGAUCAAUAUCUACUUGUGAUACCACAGCAACUGCAAUCAGCGGAGGUCUUCAAACAAACAGUCCCCUGCUUUCAAAGACAAGAUAAUGCUGGCAGAGAAUUCUUUUGUGGAUUCUUCAACUCUGGAAUUCACAACUCCAUUUGACCUGCCAUAUUCUGAAUUUACGGAUUUCUAGGGCAUGCUGCAAGGCUGGUCUGUUUGGUUUUUGGGGAAGGGCUAAGUUGAGGAAUAUUUUGGCUCAGUUUGGGUUGUGAUUUGUAAUUUGUAGAAUGAUUCUGUGGGGAGAGCUUGAUGCGGUGAAAAUAUCCUUGUGUGUGGGAUUUUCAUCACUGGGUUGGUGUAUUUAAAAUGAUUAUAAAAGCACCUUAAGCUUUAUGAAUCAGUGCUUUUUAAAAGACAAAGAAAGAAUGCUGUCUUUUUCCCUUCUGUAGUUAAGGGUCUUUUGGGGCCAGAUUUUCAAAGGCUUUUAGGCACCUAAAGAUAUAAAUCAGGGGUAGACAACCUAUGGCACGCGUGCCAAAGGUGGCACGCGAGCUGAUUUUCAGUGGCACUCACACUGUCU